rnacentral:sRNA from 1 species
CCACAGCCUUGCUCAUGUUACACACUCUUCUCUGAGCUCCCCUCAGCCCUCUCUUGUUUUAUUUUUAUUUCUUAUUUUGACAUAGGAUCUUACUACGGUAGCCUGACGGGGUCUUAAACUCACUCUGUUGCUUAGGCUUUCAACCUGUAAUCCUCCUGCCUCAGCCUUGUGAGUGGCUGGGAUUGCAGGCUUCCUCGUGUUCCUUUCAAGCAGCAACGAGCACAUAUCAAAUCCCUUUCUAAGGCUGGAUUUCUGCUGUUAGUUCUUCUUGUGCUCGAAAUAGUUACAGGAUUGGUCUCUCCCAGCCCUUUCCUGAUAAGUAAGCUGUGGGAGUCACGUAGACAAAUACUUUGGAGUUUGGAGACCUGUUCAGUUUAUCCCAAGUGUGGAGUGUGCGCUUCCGGGCUUGUUAAUGAUUACUCUGAAUAGUGCUUCUUGAGAGCGUUGGCAGCCGAGUCUUUGUCUCUUUUCUCUGAUUGCAGCGAGAGCAGGUGGUACUCUCUGGCACGGUGAGAAGCAGCGCAUGCUUCUUUCCCGUUUCAGAUGGGCUCCACAACUCAGAGGAGAGCCCUCAUCGCUCGGUCCUCCCUCUGCGGAGCAGGCACCGGCCCAUCUUCCUCUCAGUGGAUAACAACCCUCUUUUCCUGUUGCUAGAAGACUGGGGACAUCUUUGGCUGGAAUAGACCACUGUGGGGAGAAGGCUCUUAGGAGAGUGGUCCAUGAGGAAGACCUAUCAUGAGAAGAAAGGAUCAAAUCAGGCUUCGUGGCAAGUACCUUGGCUCACCAAGGCAUGUUGGCUGUUCCUGUAGCAGAGACUCUAGAAGAAAAAGCACCUAUACAGUGCCACUGAAUGGAUAUUCUUGGAUGUGUGCACUUCAUAGUUAUGGGUGGAAACAACCUUGAAAAUGGCAGAGUCACAAAGAGAAAAGCGCACCUGGGCCAUUAGACCUGGGGCAGCUUUGUGUCUCAGGCUUCUCAGGAUGGUUUCUGAAGUCUGAAAGAUCCGGAUUCUGGACUAGCACAGUUUAAAGCCAGACGUCGUGUGUUAGAGGAGACACAGCAUCACCAUCCGGACUUCAUCCUUCUUCAGAAGAAUUGAUACUUAAGACACGGUUUCUAAAUAAUGCUUGUAAUGUACGUUAUUUUAUUUUAUUCUAUUUUAUUUUUCGGCCAGGAGGAAUUCUACAAUUUUUAAUUUUAGAUUUCAAGCUGUUUUGUGGAAGCCAGUGUGUGCUUCUGUCCAGUUUGCGGACACCUCGGCUGGUGUUUGCAGCUCUCAGGAUCAUAUUCGCCACUCUUACUUUCUAAGUGAGGAAGCUAAAGCUGGAACAGAGCGGUGUGAACAGCAAAACUAUCGAUCAGGCCUGGCAUUGCGAACGCUAGUGAGCAUACUCUUACUCACUCUCUAGCAUCAGAUUAUUAGAGGGGAUCAAGACAGACAGGCGGCCAGAAGCCACCUUGUUAAAUACUAAAGCCUAGACUGCCAGCAGCCAAGAGCUCGUGAAACAUCUUCAAAGCCAGAAGUCCCACACGCAUUUUUGAAAGGUUGCCUGUGGUUUCCUGUAAACAACUGUAUGUUAAAUGGCUCCACAAAGGAAGGCCUUAUUAAGAAUAAACGAUUUGAAGAAGGAUGAUGUGGGCGGCGACAUAAUCACAAUUUUUCUAGAGGGCUUGAUUUGUCAAUGCGUUGGUUAAUUUUGCAACCACAUUCAACUGAAACUUCGUGUCUGGGCUUCCUACCACAGCAUAUCUUCCAUGAGGCUGCCUGAGAGUAGGCUGCCUGAGAGUAGGGAGAUACCCCAACCCAGCAGCAAGACCUGUGUUUGCAGCAUGACCUUAUUGGGUUGAGCCCUGAUGCUGCCCCCUCCACCCCCUCCCCUUGGGUGUAUGUGAGGAUUAAAACUAUUAUUCAUAUUUGAAUAUUAA